rnacentral:lncRNA from 1 species
CCGUGCCCUCUUCUUCUUUGGUCGGACCAAUUUCGGGCAGGACCAUGCUCCGGCGGCGAUCGGGAUGAGUUGGCGAUGAGGGUCUAGUGGUUCCCAUCCAGAUCCAAAGAUCCAAACAAAAAAAAAGGGCAGAAGAAAGAAAGAGGGCCGGCGGUUCUUCCCCGCUGUGCUUCCCUUCCCUUUCUACGGGCUGCCUCCUUCCCUUCCCACGCGCGGUCGUCCGGCACGGCGCCGCCGACGGCGACCGGUGUCGUUUGAUCCAUGCCCCCCGGUCUUCCCCUUCCUCCCAUCAUCAAAAAAAAUAAAAAGAAAGGGGCCGCUUGCUCUUCCACGUCAUGCCCUCCUCCCAUUAUUUUUAGGGGUGGCGGAGUGGAACCGGCGGCCGACGGAGAAGCCAUGAGAGGGGACAGCGGUCGGCCUCCCAUCGACCGUCGGACCAAAUAAAGAUGGGAAGCGCCGAUUCUGGCGCCCCUUUUCCCACCGCUUGAUGGGGUCGCCUGCCUUCAUGCCUACCGGCAAUGGGUGGCGGAUUGGGGCCGGUAGUCAAUCGAGAUGACCGGCAAGAGGACGCUCCGCCGACCACCGGACUGAGAUUUGGAGAAAGGACGUCGGUUCUUCGCCCCCACUUCCACCGUGAGGGAUGAAACCCACCAUUGGGUUUCGGGUUCGAGUUUUGGGUUCGAUCAGAAAUUCGGACCCAAUUUGGUUAUUUGUUUAUAUAUCAAAUUUACAGUUAAGUCCCUGUAAUACAAUUUUCAGUUUCAGUCCAACAAAAAAUUACAAUCUAGUCUCUAUAAUGUAAUUUAUUAUAUAAAAGAUUCUUAUAUUACAGUUUAGUCCC